rnacentral:rRNA from 1 species
GAUGAACGCUGGCGGCGUGCCUAAUACAUGCAAGUCGAGCGAACAGACGAGGAGCUUGCUCCUCUGACGUUAGCGGCGGACGGGUGAGUAACACGUGGAUAACCUACCUAUAAGACUGGGAUAACUUCGGGAAACCGGAGCUAAUACCGGAUAAUAUAUUGAACCGCAUGGUUCAAUAGUGAAAGACGGUCUUGCUGUCACUUAUAGAUGGAUCCGCGCUGCAUUAGCUAGUUGGUAAGGUAACGGCUUACCAAGGCGACGAUGCGUAGCCGACCUGAGAGGGUGAUCGGCCACACUGGAACUGAGACACGGUCCAGACUCCUACGGGAGGCAGCAGUAGGGAAUCUUCCGCAAUGGGCGAAAGCCUGACGGAGCAACGCCGCGUGAGUGAUGAAGGUCUUCGGAUCGUAAAACUCUGUUAUUAGGGAAGAACAAAUGUGUAAGUAACUAUGCACGUCUUGACGGUACCUAAUCAGAAAGCCACGGCUAACUACGUG